AGAGUUUGAUCCUGGCUCAGGAUGAACGCUGGCGGCGUGCCUAACACAUGCAAGUCGAACGAAGCACCUUUUGAGAUUCUUCGGAUGAUCGAUCGGUGACUGAGUGGCGGACGGGUGAGUAACGCGUGGGUAACCUGCCCUGUACAGGGGGAUAACAGCUGGAAACGGCUGCUAAUACCGCAUAAGCGCACGAGGAGACAUCUCCUUGUGUGAAAAACUCCGGUGGUACAGGAUGGGCCCGCGUCUGAUUAGCUGGUUGGCAGGGUAACGGCCUACCAAGGCAACGAUCAGUAGCCGGUCUGAGAGGAUGAACGGCCACAUUGGAACUGAGACACGGUCCAAACUCCUACGGGAGGCAGCAGUGGGGAAUAUUGCACAAUGGGGGAAACCCUGAUGCAGCGACGCCGCGUGAGUGAAGAAGUAUUUCGGUAUGUAAAGCUCUAUCAGCAGGGAAGAUAAUGACGGUACCUGACUAAGAAGCUCCGGCUAAAUACGUGCCAGCAGCCGCGGUAAUACGUAUGGAGCAAGCGUUAUCCGGAUUUACUGGGUGUAAAGGGUGCGUAGGUGGCAGUGCAAGUCAGAUGUGAAAGGCCGGGGCUCAACCCCGGAGCUGCAUUUGAAACUGCAUAGCUAGAGUACAGGAGAGGCAGGCGGAAUUCCUAGUGUAGCGGUGAAAUGCGUAGAUAUUAGGAGGAACACCAGUGGCGAAGGCGGCCUGCUGGACUGUUACUGACACUGAGGCACGAAAGCGUGGGGAGCAAACAGGAUUAGAUACCCUGGUAGUCCACGCCGUAAACG
rnacentral:rRNA from 1 species